CCCAGCCCCCGAGUGAGGAGCUGCCCACCCUGACCCGCGCGCUCCCUAGGCCGUGCCCCAAGUGCCCAGCCUGGGCCGGGACCUCGACAUUGUCUCUGCACCGCGCGCUGGUUGGCGGGGGGCGGGGGGGCGGAACCUGAGCAGCGAUCAGUGAGAAGCUAAUGGGAGUAUCGAAAACUUCUGAUGUUGACCAGGAGCUUGCAAUAGGAUGCAUUGAGCCCAGUACCCAACAAAUGUUUCUUGGCCUGAGCCCUUAAAUCUCUGAGAACCUGCGAUGCAGCGGAGAGAAGUGUGACCCCGGAAGACCAGGGACAGCCCUUCUAUUGGGGAUGACACUUCCACAAAAGAAUGUGACGAUCUUGGGGCAGCUGGGUGACGCAGUUGGUUAAGUGUCUGACUCUUGGUUUUGGCUCCGGUUGUGA